rnacentral:RNase_P_RNA from 1 species
CUUGCGGACGGGACGGCCGCGGCAUCACUGCGUGGUGUCGAGGAAAGUCCGGGCUCCACAGGGCAGGUCGGUGGGUAACGCCCACGGGUCGAAAGACCACGGAAAGUGCCACAGAGAACAGACCGCCGAUGGUCGUCUUCGGACGACACAGGCAAGGGUGAAACGGUGGGGUAAGAGCCCACCGCCGUUCCUGGUGACAGGGCGGGCACGGUAAACCCCGACCGGAGAAAGGCCAAAUAGGGGAGGAGAGGCUUCGGCCUCGGGGAGGGGCCCCUUCCCCCUGACUCCCGGGUAGGCCGUUCGAGGCGGCGCGCGAGCGUCGACCCAGAGAAAUGGUCGUCGCCCCCCUCGGGGCACAGAACCCGGCUUACAAGACCGCUGGAGCA